GACGAACGCUGGCGGCGUGCCUAAUACAUGCAAGUAGAACGCUGAAGGAGGAGCUUGCUUCUCUGGAUGAGUUGCGAACGGGUGAGUAACGCGUAGGUAACCUGCCUGGUAGCGGGGGAUAACUAUUGGAAACGCUAGCUAAUACCGCAUAAGAGUAGAUGUUGCAUGACAUUUGCUUAAAAGGUGCAAUUGCAUCACUACCAGAUGGACCUGCGUUGUAUUAGCUAGUUGGUGGGGUAACGGCUCACCAAGGCGACGAUACAUAGCCGACCUGAGAGGGGGAUCGGCCACACUGGGACUGGGACACGGCCCAGGCUCCUACGGGAGGCAGCAGUAGGGAAUCUUCGGCAAUGGACGGAAGUCUGACCGAGCAACGCCGCGUGAGUGAAGAAGGUUUUCGGAUCGUAAAGCUCUGUUGUAAGAGAAGAACGAGUGUGAGAGUGGAAAGUUCACACUGUGACGGUAUCUUACCAGAAAGGCACGGCUAACUACGUG
rnacentral:rRNA from 1 species